rnacentral:rRNA from 1 species
UUAAGAAUUGACGGGACCGCACAAGCGGUGGAUGAUGUGGAUUAAUUCGAUGCAACGACGAAAACCUUACCUACCCUUGACAUGUCCAGGACCCUGCAGAGAUGCGGGGUGCCCGAAAGGGAAUUUGGAACACAGGUGCUGCAUGGCUGUCGUCAGCUCGUGUCGUGAGAUGUUGGGUUAAGUCCCGCAACGAGCGCAACCCUUAUCAUUAGUUGCUACGCAAGGGCACUCUAAUGAGACUGCCGGUGACAAACCGGAGGAGGGUGGGGAUGACGUCAAGUCCUCAUGGCCCUUAUGGGUAGGGCUUCACACGUCAUACAAUGGUCGGUACAGAGGGUUGCCAAGCCGCGAGGUGGAGCCAAUCCCAGAAAGCCGAUCGUAGUCCGGAUUGUUCUCUGCAACUCGGGAGCAUGAAGUCGGAAUCGCUAGUAAUCGCGGAUCAGCAUGUCGCGGUGAAUACGUUCCCGGGUCUU